rnacentral:rRNA from 1 species
UAGUCCACGCCGUAAACGAUGUCAACUAGCCGUUGGGGGGCUUGACCCUUUAGUGGCGCAGCUAACGCAAUAAGUUGACCGCCUGGGGAGUACGGCCGCAAGGUUAAAACUCAAAUGAAUUGACGGGGGCCCGCACAAGCGGUGGAGCAUGUGGUUUAAUUCGAUGCAACGCGAAGAACCUUACCAGGUCUUGACAUCCUGAGAAUUCGGUAGAGAUACCUUAGUGCCUUCGGGAACUCAGUGACAGGUGCUGCAUGGCUGUCGUCAGCUCGUGUCGUGAGGUGUUGGGUUAAGUCCCGUAACGAGCGCAACCCUUGUCCUUAGUUGCUAGCAGGUAAUGCUGAGAACUCUAAGGAGACUGCCGGCGACAAACCGGAGGAAGGUGGGGACGACGUCAAGUCAUCAUGGCCCUUACGGCCUGGGCUACACACGUGCUACAAUGGAACGCACAGAGGGCAACAAACCCGCGAGGGGGAGCGAAUCCCACAAAACGUUUCGUAGUCCGGAUUGGAGUCUGCAACUCGA